ACUGAACAUGUGAUAACCCGUCAAGGUUCUGGAAGGG
rnacentral:rRNA from 1 species